UACGUAGGGGGCUAGCGUUAUCCGGAUUUACUGGGUGUAAAGGGAGCGUAGACGGUAUGGCAAGUCUGAUGUGAAAACCCGGGGCUCAACCCCGGGACUGCAUUGGAAACUGUCGGACUAGAGUGUCGGAGAGGCAAGUGGAAUUCCUAGUGUAGCGGUGAAAUGCGUAGAUAUUAGGAGGAACACCAGUGGCGAAGGCGGCUUGCUGGACGAUGACUGACGUUGAGGCUCGAAAGCGUGGGGAGCAAACAGG
rnacentral:rRNA from 1 species